UGUAUUCCCUCCGAAAUAAUUAUAAUAUUAAAAAGGGGUCGUAAGCACUCACUUUCGUAGCAUGAGUUCCAAUCGUUUGAAUUCUGUUUCUUUGAGAAACUAGACGUGAGAAAGCGUAAAUCCACAAUUCUUGAACUUUGAAAUACUCUCGGACCAUUUCAUAACAAGUUGGAACUAUUGGGGACUGAUUUGUAACUUCACUAGAGUAUAAGGGAUGUUUGGUAAUUUAAUUAACCGAAGUAGGAUUACUUUGGUAAAAAUAAUUUCAAAGGAGGGGCUAAAAUAAUUAUUUUUAUUCGAUGUUUGAAGAUUGGGAUUUCUUAUGUUAAAAAUAACCUAAUAAGGGGUUGUUUGUGGAUAAAUGGAAUCAUAUUUUGGGGAUCGGGGCCUAUUUUGAAUAAAGAAUUUAUACAGCAAGGGCAUUUUGGUCAUUUCCUAUGUCAAAACUGGCUUAGGGCUUUUUAUGCCCGUGUUCGUUUUAUGAUCGGGUAAAAAUCGAGGCACAAAUUCGAACACAAGGCAGAUGCGAAGGAAGGCACUGAGGCAAUGAGGAAUCGGAAGCAAAUUAGUUGGGAGGGAAAAGACUCGAUCCUCAUCUGAUCGGGGAAAGGAAUCGGCAUCGAUUUCGACUGAUUGAGAAGACGACCGAAUGGGAUCGUCAUAGAAACGAGGGAGCGGAAAGCUGGACACGAACGAAGCAGCGGGGGAAGAGGCGUACAAUGGUAGCAGCGCUUCGUUGGUCGAUUAAUCGCGAAGAGGGACCGCCGUCUCUGGGGUUCGACGAGGCCGAAGAGGCGAAGCAGCCAAGCUGCUGGGGUCUUCUGUUGUUUGAUUCGGUUACAGCAGCGGUACACGAAAAGGGAAAAUACGAGGUUUCGGUGGUAUUGAUGUGGAAACACGAAGAGGGAGAAGGCGAGGGCAGAGGUCUCGGUCUUUGGCCGGUCGCGAAGGAGAACGAAGGCGGAAUCGUAACGCUCUCUUUGAAGGGGCAAGACAAGCUGCGAUACCUCGGGUGGGGACGGCUUGGCAGGAAGGAUCGAUGGAAGGAAGAAAUGGUUCGAUGAUAGAUUUUUUUGGUGCUUGCAGCUCAAACGCAGAAGGGAAUGAAAGAAAAGAAUCAUUAAGGCUUUACAAGAACACCUCCAAUGGAGGCGUUAUUGACUGGAAUGAAGAAGAAGAAUAAAGGAAAUGGGUGCUGUGUUUUUGGUGAUUUAUUGACUGCUCUACUUGAGGAAAGAAACACGUGUCCUUUGAGUUUGAGUGUUUACUUUUGCAUUGUACAGGUUUUAUUUUGAGUGUAGUUUUGAUUGAGUGUGAUAUUGGGUUGAAGAAUAUUUUGCACGUAAUCAAGUUCAGAUGUUGCAGGGACAAGUGAUGUUGGUGACUUGUGUUUCAGUUGACAACUCACAAGGAGAAAUAGGUUCUAACAAGUUUGUUUUAACCAGUUUGUUUUGGGUGUAUUUUUGGAUAAAAUGGUUUGGUUUGUGUGUGUCUAUGUAUAACAUAAGGGUUGUACAAUAAUUUGUAUAGUUUGUGUCGUAAAUAGUCUCAUUUUUGUAUUUAAUGUGUGUAUUGAUUUAAUUAAGUAUGCAUUUAGCAAUAUUAUAACUUGUAUUUGUAAUAGCCUCAUUUUUGUAUGACUAGUGUGUAUUGAUUUAAUUUAGUACGAAUUUGUGUA